rnacentral:rRNA from 1 species
AGCUUGCUCCUGGAUGUUAGUGGCGGACGGGUGAGUAACACGUGUAGUAACCGGCCUGUAAGACGGGAAUACCUCCCGGAAACCGGAGCUAAAACCGGAUAGUUCCUUGAACCGCAGGGUUCAAGGAUGAAAGACGGUUUCGGCUGUUUGUUACAUAUGGACCCGCGGCGCAGUAGCUAGUUGGUGGGGUAAUGGCUCACCUGGCGACUAUUCGUAGCCGACCUGAGAGGGUGAUCGGCCACACUGGGACUGAAACACGGCCCAGACUCCUACGGGAGGCACCUUUGGGGAAUCUUCCACAUUGGAAGAAAGUCUGACGGAGCAACGCCCCGUGAGUGAUGAAGGUUUUCGGAUCGUAGAGCUCUUUUGUUAGGGAAGAACAAGUGCGAGAGUAACUGCUCGCACCUUGACGGUACCAUAACCAGAAAGCCACGGCUAACUACCUGCGCCCGCCAGCCUCGAGUAGUACUUAUGUAGCAGAGGCCUAUCCGUUGUCUGGAAUUGUGUUGGGGGUAUAGGGCAUCGCACGGCUCGUUUUUUUAUAUUCUGAUGUGCAACGCCGCCCCGCGCUCCACCCGGGGAGGGGUCUUUGGGAAGACUGGAGAAACUUGAGUGCGGGAGAAGGAGAGUGUAAUUUCUACGUGUAGUGUUGGAGUGCGUAACCCCCUGUGGAGGAACACCAGUGGCGAAGGCGACGCUUUUUUCUGUCAGUGAUCAAAUCUGAGGAAUCGAAAGCGUGGGGAGCGAAACAGGAUUAUAUCUCCGUGGUCGAUGCACGCCGUCACCGAUGAGUGCUUUAUUUUCGACGGGUUGUUUCUCCGCCUUUUAGUGCAGCAGGAACUCAUUCAGCACUCCGCCCGGGGAGUACGGUCGCAAGACUGAAACUCAAUGGAAGUGACGGGGGCCCGCACCAGCGGUGGAGCAUGUGGUUUAAUUAGAAGCAACGAGAAGAACCAAACCAGGUCACGACAUCCUUUGACAACCCCAAAGAUAGGGCUUUCCCUUCGGGGAAAGAAUGACAGGUGGUGCAUGGUCGUGGUCAGCUCGUGUCCUGAGAUGUUGGGUUAAGUCCCGCAACGAGCGCAACCCCUAAUCUUAGCUGCCGGCAUUAAGUUGGGCACUUUAAGGUGAACGCCGGUGACAAACCGGAGGAAGGGGGGGAAGAAGUCAAAUCAUCAUGCCCCUUAUGACGUGGGCUACACACGUGCUACAAAGGACAGAACAAAGGGGUGCAAGACCGCAAGGGUUAGCCAAUCCCAUAAAUCUGUUUUCAGUUCGGAUCGCCGUUUGCAACUUGAAUGCCUGGAGCCGGAAUCGCUUGUAAUCGCGGAUUAGCCUGCCGCGGUGAAUAUGUUCCCGGGCUUUGUACACACCCCCCGUCACACCCCUAGGUGAGGCUACACUUUAACCCGGGUUAGCCGUC